UACAGAGGUCCCGAGCGUUGUUCGGAUUCACUGGGCGGAAAGGGUGCGUAGGUGGUGGGGUAAGUCGGAUGUGAAAUCUCGGAGCUCAACUCCGAAAUGGCAUUGGAAACUACCCUGCUGGAGGUUUGGAGGGGGGACUGGAAUACUUGGUGUAGCAGUGAAAUGCGUAGAUAUCAAGUGGAACACCAGUGGCGAAGGCGAGUCCCUGGACAAAACCUGACACUGAGGCACGAAAGCUAGGGGAGCAAACAGG
rnacentral:rRNA from 1 species